rnacentral:rRNA from 1 species
GACGAACGCUGGCGGCGUGCUUAACACAUGCAAGUCGAACGGAAAGGCCCUGCUUGCAGGGUGCUCGAGUGGCGAACGGGUGAGUAACACGUGGGUGAACUGCCCCUUACUUUGGGAUAAGCCUGGGAAACGGGGUCUAAUACUGGAUAGGACCAUGCAGUUGGGGGUGUGGUGGAAAGAUUAGUUUCGGUAAGGGAUGAGCUCGCGGCGUAUCCGGUUGUGGUUGGGGUAAUGGCCUACCAAGGCGUCGACGGGUAGCCGUCGUGAGAGGGUGGAGGGACACAUUAGAACCGAGAUACAGGCCAGAGUGCUACGGGAGGGAGCAGGGGGGAAAACCUGACAAUGGGAGCAAGCGUGAUGCAGGGAGGCCUCGUGGGGGAUGAGGGCCUUUGGGUUGUAAACACCGUUCAGCCAUGACGAAGCGCUUGUGGUGACGGUAGUGGUAGAAGAAGCACCGGUUAACUACGU